rfam:Lactobacillus mixtipabuli DNA, scaffold: sequence04, strain: IWT30.
GAAACCUUUAACAAAUAGUCCUGUGAGGCUAAGAAGGCUCGGUGAACUAGGCGAACAGUCUAGAUUUUGGUGAACCUCUCUACCCACAGGCGGUAGAGAGGUUUUUGUU